rnacentral:misc_RNA from 1 species
GCAAACUUGGUCAUUUAGAGGAAGUAAAAGUCGUAACAAGGUUUCCGUAGGUGAACCUGCGGAAGGAUCAUUAUUGAAAAUAACUAUGGUGGGUUGUAGCUGGCUUCUUGAAGCAUGUGCACACCUGCUGUCUUUAUCUAUCCCAUUGUGCACCAUGUGUAGUUCUGGAAGGGGAAAAAUCACUCUAGCUCUUAAGGGGUUUUUGAGAUUAGGCCUACUUCCAGGUCUAUGUCUUUUCCAUAUACGCUGUAGUAUGUCAAAGAAUGUAGUCAAUGGGCCUUUGUGCCUAUAAAACUCUAUACAACUUUCAGCAACGGAUCUCUUGGCUCUCGCAUCGAUGAAGAACGCAGC